rnacentral:lncRNA from 1 species
CCUCUUGAUCAACACUAGAGACCCUUCGUUUGGAGCUGCACUACCUGAUUUAUUCAAGCAGUUGACAUGCAUCAGGUCAUUGAAUUUGUCAAGGUCUUCAAUCAAAGAAAUACCAAAUGAGGUAGGGAAAUUGAUACAUUUGAGACACCUCAAUCUGGCAGAUUGUGGAGAGCUGGAGUCCCUGCCAGAAACCAUGGGUGAUUUAUGCAAUUUGCAAUCCCUAGACGUUACUUGGUGUCGUUCUCUCAAGGAAUUGCCUAAUGCGAUCGUAAAACUUAUCAAAUUGAGGCAUCUCCGGGUUGUUCUUUCAGGUGUGGCCUUCAUACCAAAGGGAAUAGAGAGGAUAACAUGUCUUCGAACAUUAGAUUUGUUUAUUGUGUGUGGUGGUGGUGGGAAUGAAAGUAAAGCAGCUAAUCUAAGAGAAUUGAAAAACUUAAAUGACAUUGGAGGGAGUCUUGAGAUAUGGAAUCUAGGAGGAGGUAAAGAAGAUGCGAGUGACGCUGCAGAAGCACAACUCAAGAAUAAGAAGCGCCUGCUUCGUUUGCGAUUGGAUUUCAUCGCAGAGAAAACAGAGUUGCAAGCAAAUGAAGGCUCUUUAAUUGAAGCUUUACGGCCUCCGUCAGACUUGGAAGAUCUAACCAUAUAUGGGUACGGAGGGUUGGAUUUGCCAAAUUGGAUGAUGACAUUAACCAGAUUACAGGCGCUUAAACUGUAUGAUUGUACAAAGCUGGAGGUCUUGCCUCCGUUGGGAAGAUUGCCCAACCUUGAAAGACUGGUAUUGAGGUCGUUGAAGGUGAGAAGGCUGGAUGCUGGAUUUUUAGGUAUAGAAAAAGAUGAGAAUGCCAGUAUUAACGAAGGAGAAAUUGCAAGGGUCACUGCUUUCCCCAAAUUAAAAAUACUUGAGAUUUGGAAUAUCAAAGAGUGGGAUGGAAUUGAAAGGAGAUCAGUGGGAGAAGAAGAUGCCACCACAACUUCAAUAUCCAUUAUGCCACAACUUCGACAGUUGACAAUUCAUAAUUGCCCGUUGUUGAGAGCACUACCAGACUAUGUUUUGGCAGCGCCUCUACAGGAAUUGUAUAUAGGUGGCUGCCCCAAUCUAGGUGAAGAUUGGCAAAAGAUUUCUCACCGAAACAUUUAUUUUUUUGAUAAAUAGGUGAGAAAGACAGAACUCUUUAGUCUUUAGAACCAGCAGGAACAGCCGAACAGGUAAAUUCUUCUACCAGUGUUAAUUCCUAACGGUAAAAGAUUUGGUUCUGAGUGUAUUAAUUAUUUGCUUUGGUGUUAAUUCUUACCAUUUACUCUAUGUGACCUCUUUACUUACCAACUGAAUAUUAAUUUAUGACCUCUUUACUGUAAUUCGAUUUUAUUUCCUACUUACCAUUCACUCUAUCAAAUGCAGCUGUGAUAUUAUCUCGCUCACGUGAAGCUUAUUCCUUACUUAAAUUCUCCAAAUGCCACUCUAAAAAAACUGCCUUUGAAAUUUCAGACCAUAUUUUAGAUUUUUUCCUUGAUAAUUUUGGAUUUUAGUUUUAUUAUUUUUAUUAAUUGUUUUCUUGUUAUUUACGGAUAUUUAGGGUAUUUAAACCUAUCUUUUCAUAUUUUAGGAUACUUUUGCUAAUAAUAUAUAUUUUUUAUUUUUUAAAAAUUAUUUUUGAUAUCAACGUAUUAAAAUAAUUUAAAAACACUAAAAAAUAUUAAUUUGAAGUAAAGAAAAAAAUAAAAUAAAAAUAAAUUUUUUUAAAAGCGCUUUUAAAAAUAAAAAAUAAACCGGGCUUAAUAAGUAUUAAAAAUAUUAUUAUUUGUUUUAUUAAUAUUAUUUUUUAGUCUAAUUAAUAGUAUUAAUCUCAAAAAUAUUGUUAUUUUUGGUGCUAUAAAUAAUAUUAUGUUUAUAUUAAUUAAUAAUAUUAAUACUAAAAAUGUUAUCAGUUAUAUUAUAAAUAUUAUUAUUUUUAUUAAAAUUUAUAAGAGUAUAUUUUAUUGUAAUUAAUACUAUUAAUAAAAUAAUUGAUGAAUUUUAAAGAAAAUGUUAUAUCAUUUAUUAAUUUUAUCAAAUGUAUUGUAAUAAUAAUUUUAUGAAAUUAUACUUAAUUUUAUAUUUAAUUUCAUUUAGAAGUGCUCCGGUGGUCUUUGCUGAUUUCCUCUGUAAUUUAGAUCUGAAUUUCAAUUCCCUGAUUCCAUAACCUUGGCCCGUAUUCUAAUAGCCAAACAACUCUCUUCCUAUGUUCCUGCAUCAGCAUGUCGACUCCUCACUCUCUGAUUCCUGAAUCUUGAAAACACUCUUCCUUCGUUUUUGCUCUCAGAGCAGUAAGGCCUUUUGGAGUAUCUUUUCCAGUCGCUGGUUUUGAUUACAAAGGUCCACAGCUGUAUCAUUAACUGUUUCCUCGUAAUAUUGUCUGAAUGCAUUAACUGUUUUUUUUUCUUUUAAUAUCUGGAUUAUCCACUGCAGACCAUGAAUCACAAAUUGACAAGAAAAUGUGUUUCAACUAAGACCUACCAAUGCUAAUCGCUGCUUGGGAUCAAAACCCAAUUGAGGCCAAAUUGAGUGGGUAGAUCUGGUUUUUAAUCCAAAUGAUUCUUCAUAAAUUAUUGUAGUUGUCUUGCAUUAUAUUUCUAGCUAAGAAAACAAAGAAGUGCCUUAAAUUCUGAAAAAUUAGAAAAAGACAAUAAAAAAAAGGUUCAAAUCACGUUAAGAAAGGAAUGAGAAGAAGAAGAAGAAGAAGAAAGGAAGGUGAUGUGGUCCAGACAAUACGAAUACUUUCCUCCAGAAAAUCUCGCUCAUUUCUUGUCCUUUACACACCCGUUUGCUCCCCUUCACAAACCAGCAAUCCUUCCAAACUUUUUUCCAUGACCAGCACAUGCUACUGAUAUCAGAUAAACAUUAAAUGAAGAGAAGAAAUAGAGAACCAGAUGAGAAGCAGGAAUUUCAGUAGAAUGCCAUUCAGUAGAAUGCCAUAAUCAAUUUCAGGAAUUUCAGUAGAAUGCCAUUCAGUAGAAUGCCAUAAUCAAUUUCAGGAAUUUCAGUAGAAUGCCAUUCAGUAGAAUGCCAUAAUCAAUUUCAGGAAUUUCAGUAGAAUGCGAUAAUCUCUCAGUAGAAUUCUCCAGACCAAUCGUGUUAUUAAGUGAAGAUCAUGAAUUCAAAACUAUGAUAUUAGAAUCAAUAUAGAUAGCACCUGAGCAACCCAACAAGAAAAAAAAAAAACAAGAGACAAGUUACCAAAACAUAGAUUUCUAAAAAUAAGAAAUGGCGCGAUUGAAUCACUACAUUACAUAGUAUAACGAUGAUCAUCAGGAAUAUAAAAUAAAAAUUCUUCUCAACUCGAGCGAAGAGGGUAUUAACUAAUACAUGGUUUCUAGUUCAAGAGCCAGCAUCAAAAUUACUAGAUUAUGAGAUUUAUUUUAAACACCUCAGUGUGAUAGUACAGUGUCCUAUAUGAGAUUCACACACGAACCAGCAAGAUGUCGUGUCAUUCUAGUCAUACAUGUGAUUGACAUGCCAGAAGGGGGAGAUAUUUUCAAGAAGCGAGCUAAUUACUUGUAGAGAGCAGCAAGGUGAACCGGUUCAAUGUAGUGAAAACAUGUCUUUCACCGCUGAAACCAAACCGGAGUGAAAAUAUGGGUUUUCUACAUAGCCUUAUCACCUCUAGUCAACCACGGGUCUCGCAGCAAAGGAUACGGGUUCAAAAAAACAAAAUCACUAUUUAUGAAGCCAAUCACCCCACCCUUCUCUUAAAGAUUACAACUUUUUACUUAUCUUUAACAACAAAGCAUCUUCAAUAAUCUUAACCUCACUAAGUUUUCUGUAAAUUUCCUCAUCAACAAGAAUAUCAUCACUGCCAAACUUAUAAUCCUCCACAUUCAAUCCUCAACUAAAACCAUCGUAAUAAUAAUAAUAAUAAUAAUAAAAACAUCCUAAUAUCCUAUCAAUUUCUUAUUCAAAUACCUUAUAAUGGACCUGGUUACAUGAUCCACGUAAUACCCAGAAGUAAAAAUCGAGGGACUUUUCGUUUCUUAUUCUUCGAUGUUUUUUUUUGUCUUUCAUUUUCGUGAUCUUCUUCUUCUUCUUCUUGUUCUCUAAUGGUGUCUUCUUCAUCGAUCUUCGACGCUGAAAUUUAAGGUAUGUUUAACGCGGUGUAAAUCGAGUUUCUAAAAAUUUUGAGUUUUUUUUUAUUUAAAAUAAAUUUUAUUUUAUAUGUUUUCAUAUCGUUUUGAUGUGCUGGUAUCAAAAAUAUUUUUAAAAAAAUAAAAAUAAAAUUAUUAUUUUUUUGUUCAACCUCAAUUUCAACCAUGAAAAUUGUAAUUCUUGUCGGAUGAAUAAAUUAUUUUUUGUUCAACCUCAAUUUCAACCACAGUUUUAACCAAACAUAUAUAAAUAUCAAACUAACCUCAACUAAAUAGACACCGGAUGACUAUCACACCCUUGUUAUGGUAUCUGAUUCAGCGAAAAGGAGGGUAUUACGGUAAUUGGAACAACUUGAAUCGAGAAUCUGAACCGCUGUAUUCAUCCGCAAAGAUGCACACGCUAUUGAUAACUCGGCCAACUAAGUCGAUUACUCAAUGUAAUUAAGUAUUGCCUUAUUUUGAAUCACCAGCUAGCAACAAGUCUUCAAGCUUUGAAAUGACUGGUGGCGUACCACUAUUCCAAUGGUAAGGAAUAGAAAUCUCUUCAAAGUCACCAAGGAACUCUUUUUUUAGACAAUAGUGGAGAUUUUAUUAAAAUUUUUGGCUAAAAUGAGAAUAGCCUAAUAACAAAAAAAAAAAAAAAAGGAGCAACAACAGAGAAGAUAAAAUAAAGAAGACAUAAAACCACGGUAUCCACUCUAUAACAGGAAGAAGAAAACAGGGACCAGACAAUAGAUAAAAACAAGAAGUCAACUUCUGUUAUCCCCGAAAAAGAUCCCAUCAGAGUUGAUCCCUGAAUCCAAACCGGUGUAAGCAAAAGUUGUGCUAUCAAACUUCAACCAUAAAGAGGACCUGUGGACGAUCAAGUAAAAAUAACCUUGAAGAUCUGGAGUCACAUCAUUGAAGAUUAUAUCAUUAUGAUGUUGCUAUAGAGCAAUAGAUCCAAGAGAUGGAAACUGGAUAUUACAAUGUGUCGAAUUUUAGUCCUUUUAUAUAUGAUAUGGUGCUUCACUUCAGCGUCCACGGUUUGUCCCAGGUACAGCUCUUUUUUCAGGUUUUGUAUUUGUUAGACUGGAUGUUUUAAUGUUCAGUGUUAAGGUUUUGUGCGGAUGUAGGGUGCUUCUCAUGCUAAAACUUGCUUUACAAGUAGUGUUUGAGGCUUUUCAUUGUGUUAACAUCGAAUCUCGGAUUGGAUUUUGAGUUAAUUGCUAGGCUGAAAUCCUUUUAGUCUUUUGCUUGUGGCGUAAAUAUAUGUAUCAUGUCCAUAGGAUGCGAACUUGAAAAGUUUCCAUUUGGUAUUUCGCAAUUGCAUAAGCAUAUGUGAAGCUAGCUCAUUCCACAUCGCCGAGCCAAGUUUUUUACUGAUUCCACUAUGAUGUCUAGGAAAUGUUAUGACACGUACGUCAAAAACAAUAUGCAUUAAUUUUGUUGCUGGUAGAGAGUGCCAUAUGCAAUAUUUUCUGUCUCUUAUUGGAGCCUUUUUAUGAAAAUUGUGUUAAUUCAACAAUUCUCAUUACAUACCCCGACCUGAUUUUUUUUGUUAAAGAAUUCUUUUACCUUUUUGAGAGUGAUUUUGGUUUGUCUGGUUGCUGAUUGCAGGUAAACAUGGAUGGAAGUUCUCUUGACUUCAACUUACUGGAAAUGCAACCUUUGAGCAAUCUGAAAUGGUUUGAUUACUGCUUCAGAGAAGUACUUCCUGGAAGAGUUGGAAGGACCUUGGAUGAAGUUGGGUCUAUUCUUCGGACUGUGCAAGAAGAUCAGAGUGUUCUGCUUGUGAAUAUAUUUGGGGCAUCAGAUACAAUCACGAGGAACAUGCUUUGCCACUUUGAGAGGCUAAAUAUAAGGAACUAUAUAUUGAUUAGACCUGGGUCUGAUUUUCUAUUUGAUCUUGCUAGAAGAGGGCAUCCUGUGAUUGAUGCUGACCAGUUUUUCAAUCAUCAUAGAGCACAGAAAGUAAUGGGAUUUCAACAUUCCAGUGCGGAGCUGAUGAAGAACAUUUUAGUGAAUGCUUACGUAAUUAAGAAGUGUUUAGAAAAUGGGUAUGAUUCUUUGAUAGUGAAUCAUGGUCUUUGCUGAUUUCCUCUCUAAUUUAGAUCUGAAUUUUAAUCCCCAGAUUCCAUAACCUUGGCCCGUAUUCUAAAAGCCAACAACUCUCUUUCUAUAUUCCUGCAUCAGCAUGGCAACUCUUCACUCUCUGAUUCCUGAAUCUUGAAAACACUCUUCCUUUUUUUUUCCUCUCAGAGGAGUAAGGCCUUUUGGAGUAUCUUUUCUAGUCGCUGGUUUUGAUUACAAAGGUCCACAGCUGUACCAGGCAUCUUUGUUUCCUCGUAACAUUGUCUGAAUUCAUUAACUGUUUUUUUUUCUUUUAAUAUUUGGAUUAUCCACUGCAGACCAUUGAUUUUAGAUGCUUUACUGGCUAGGGUCACAAAUUGACAUGAAAAUGUGUUUCAACUAAGUCCUACCAAUGUUGAGAGUUGAGAAUUCAUAAUUGCCCGUUGUUGAGAGAUGCUUUGGGCAGGAGUUUCCUGGUGCAAAGAAUAUGGAAACCGGUGAAAAAGAGAUGCUUUGGGCCCAAUGCCAUGGAUUACAAGUGUGCUAAUAUACACGAUCUUUCUAUCAUUUCUUCCCCUGCCUCUUGCUUUUGACAUCUAGAAACGCAGGAUGGGGCUUGAGUGAAGAAAAAGCACGAGAAUCUGAUAGGCAAGGGCAGCAAGGUGUUGAACGAGUGGCCUGCUUGAUACCUUGCUUGUUGGAUGCAUAGCUGCUUAAUUAUGUGUAUAAAACAGGGAAAUAAAAGGUAUCAUCACCCUUCCAAUUUUAGUGGUAUUUGAAAAGAAUUAUUUUAAAUUACAAAGCCAAUAAUGGGAUGAUAUUAUACCCGUUGAUAUGGGCCAAUAUUUUCAUACCAAAACAGAUGAUUCAGUACAGUUAUUUGCCAAUAAUCCCUCCUCUGUUUGUUUUUUCUAUGUGUUUGUUGCAAUCCCUUACUGUUUUUUGUUGAUUUGUUAUCAACGUUACUUAGUUUUACAAAUCUCAUGCUGAACACUUUGAAUUGCAGGUUGAACACGCGGAGCUUAUAAGAAUCAAUAUGGAAUAUGACAGAGUCUAAGUUCUUAGGGUUUUUUUUCCUUCAUCUCCCCACCCUCCUCUUCAUGGAGUAGGACAGUACCCUUUGUUAAAUAAUAUUUAUGUAGUCUUAUUUAUUAAGGGUAGAAUAAUACUUUCAGUUUAACCUAUAUAUACUUUGUUUGUAUUUAGGUUAAGACUAAGCACUCAUAAUAUAUAUAUUAUUCAGAAUUCUAGCCUCCUUUUCGUGUUUGAGCUUAAUUAUUUUAACAUGGUAUCAGAGCUGGUUUUAUGGAACGAGGCUUAAUCCCGAACACAGCUUCGCUUAGUUAUUUUUUGGACUGAGAUUUUGUCUUCCGCUUCUGCAAAAUUUGAUAUUUCGUCAGUUUCUGCAAUUAUUUUGGUAUUUCGUCUUCCCUUCAGCUUCUGCAAUUUGGUAUUUGCGUUCAGUUUCUGCAAAUUUGUUCUGUGUUUUGGAGUAAUCGUAUAAUUUUGAGAAGAUAUUUGUUUAGUUUCUGCAAUCUCUGUUCAGUUUCUGCAAUUUGGUAUUUUGUUUUCCGCUGCUUUUGCAUUCUGGUUCUCUGUGAUUGUUGAUUAUGGCUACUGAACGAGAUGAUUCGCUUCAGUCUGUGAGUGUGAGGUUGGAUGGGAAGAACUAUUCGUAUUGGUGCUAUGUAAUGAGAAAUUUUCUUAAGGGUAAGAAGAUGUGGGGAUAUGUCAGUGGAGCUUAUGUGGUACCUAAGAAUACUGAAGAAGGAGAUACUGCUUCGAUAGAUGCAUGGGAAGCAAACAAUGCAAAGAUCAUUACUUGGAUCAACAAUUCUGUUGAGCAUUCUAUAGGUACACAGUUGCAAAGUAUGAGACAACAAAGGAGGUUUGGGAUCAUCUGCAAAGGUUAUUCACACAAUCAAAUUUUGCAAAACAGUAUCAGUUAGAGAAUGACAUACGAGCUCUUCACCAGAAGAAUUUGAGUAUUCAGGAGUUCUAUUCUGCCAUGACAGAUCUUUGGGAUCAAUUAGCUCUUACAGAAUCGGCAGAAUUAAAAGCAUGUGGUGCUUAUAUUGAACGUAGAGAGCAGCAACGAUUGAUACAGUUUUUAACAGCACUUCGCAAUGAUUUUGAAGGACUUAGAGGUUCAAUUCUGCAUCGUUCUCCACUGCCUUCUGUUGACUCUGUUGUCAGUGAGUUAUUGGCUGAAGAAAUACGUCUUCAGUCUUAUUCUGAAAAGGGAAUUCUUUCUGCUUCAAAUCCUUCUGUACUAGCAGUACCUUCUAAGCCAUUCUCUAAUCAUCAGAAUAAGCCUUACACAAGGGUUGGCUUCGAUGAGUGCAGUUUCUGUAAGCAGAAAGGUCAUUGGAAGGCUCAGUGUCCUAAGUUGAGACAGCAGAAUCAAGCUUGGAAGUCUGGCAGUCAGUCACAAUCUAAUGUUCAUCGACCACCUCAGGGUUAUAAACCACCACACCACAAUACUGCAGCAGUAGCUUCACCAGGCUCUAUUACCGAUCCUAAUACUUUGGCUGACCAAUUUCAGAAGUUUCUCUCCUUGCAGCCACAAGCAAUGUCCGCUUCUUCCAUAGGUCUGUUGCCUCAUAGUUCCUCAGGUAUGUCACACUCUGAAUGGGUCCUGGAUUCUGGUGCUUCCCAUCAUAUGUCUCCAGAUUCCUCAUAUUUUACCUCUGUGUCCCCUUUGUCCUCCAUUCCUGUUAUGACUGCUGAUGGCACUCCUAUGCCCUUAGCAGGUGUUGGUUCUGUUGUCACACCUCACUUGUCUCUCCCUAAUGUUUAUCUUAUUCCAAAACUCAAAUUGAAUCUUGCGUCUGUUGGUCAAAUAUGUGAUUCUGGUGAUUAUUUAGUCAUGUUUUCUGGUUCUUUUUGUUGUGUACAGGAUCUGCAGUCUCAGAAGCUGAUUGGGACAGGCCGUAGGGAGAAUGGACUAUAUAUUUUGGAUGAGUUAAAAGUGCCAGUUGCUGCUGCUGCCGCUGCUACUACUACUAUUGAUUUGUCUUCCUUUCGUUUGAGUCUUUCAUCUUCUAGUUUUUAUUUAUGGCAUUCCCGUCUAGGUCAUGUUUCGUCUUCUCGUUUGAGAUUUUUGGCAUCCACAGGAGCUUUAGGAAAUUUGAAAACUUGUGACAUUUUAGAUUGUAGUGGAUGUAAACUGGCAAAAUUUUCUGCUUUACCUUUUAAUCGAAGUAUUUCUGUUUCAUCUUCACCAUUUGAUUUGAUUCAUUCUGAUGUAUGGGGACCUUCUCCUGUUGCCACAAAAGGAGGGUCUCGAUAUUAUGUCUCUUUUAUUGAUGAUCAUACUCGUUAUUGUUGGGUUUAUUUAAUGAAACAUCGUUCUGAAUUCUUUGAGAUAUAUGCAGCUUUUCGAGCUCUUAUCAAAACUCAACAUUCUGCUGUGAUCAAAUGUUUUAGGUGUGAUUUGGGUGGGGAAUACACCUCUAAUAAAUUUUGUCAAAUGCUUGCCUUAGAUGGAACCAUCCACCAAACUUCAUGUACAGAUGCUCCUGAGCAAAAUGGUGUUGCUGAAAGAAAACAUAGGCACAUUGUCGAAACUGCUCGUUCUCUCUUGUUGUCUACUUUUGUUCCUAGUGAGUUUUGGGGAGAAGCUGUUCUUACUGCUGUAAGUUUGAUUAAUACAAUUCCAUCUUCUCAUAGUUCGGGUCUAUCUCCUUUUGAAAAGUUAUAUGGGUAUGUCCCUGAUUAUUCCUCAUUUAGAGUCUUUGGUUGUACUUGUUUCGUUCUUCGUCCUCAUGUAGAACGCAGUAAGUUAUCCUCUCGAUCCGCUAUUUGUGUCUUUCUAGGUUAUGGUGAAGGUAAAAAGGGGUAUCGUUGUUUUGAUCCAAUAACUCAGAAACUUUAUGUGUCUCGUCAUGUUGUCUUCCUUGAGCAUAUACCUUUCUUUUCUAUUCCAUCCACUACUCAUAGCCUGACAAAAUCUGAUCUUAUUCAUAUAGAUCCUUUUUCUGAGGAUUCUGGUAAUGAUACCUCUCCCUAUGUUCGAUCAAUUUGUACUCAUAACUCUGCAGGUACUGGUACUUUACUCUCUGGCACACCUGAAGCUCCAUUCUCAUCUACAGCCCCUCAAGCUUCAUCUGAGAUUGUGGAUCCACCUCCACGUCAGUCCAUCCGCAUUCGUAAGUCCAUAAAACUACCAGAUUUUGCUUAUUCUUGUUAUUCUUCAUCAUUUACUUCCUUUUUAGCUUCUAUUCAUUGUCUCUUUGAGCCCUCUUCCUAUAAAGAGGCAAUUCUUGAUCCGCUUUGGCAGCAAGCUAUGGAUGAGGAACUUUCUGCUUUGCAUAAGACAGAUACUUGGGAUCUGGUUCCUCUACCUCCUGGUAAGAGUGUUGUUGGUUGUCGUUGGGUGUAUAAGAUCAAGACUAAUUCUGAUGGGUCUAUUGAGCGAUACAAAGCUAGGCUGGUUGCAAAAGGAUACUUUCAACAGUAUGGUAUGGACUAUGAGGAGACAUUUGCCCCGGUUGCAAAAAUGACUACUAUUCGUACUCUUAUUGUCGUAGCUUCGAUUCGUCAGUGGCAUAUUUAUCAGCUUGAUGUUAAAAAUGCCUUCUUGAAUGGAGAUCUUCAAGAAGAAGUUUAUAUGGCACCCCCUCCUGGUAUUUCACAUGACUCUGGAUAUGUUUGUAAGCUUAAGAAAGCAUUAUAUGGUCUCAAACAAGCACCCCGUGCUUGGUUUGAGAAAUUCUCUAUUGUGAUCUCGUCUCUUGGCUUUGUUUCUAGCAGUCAUGAUUCUGCUCUUUUUAUUAAGUGCACUGAUGCAAGUCGUAUCAUUCUGUCUUUAUAUGUUGAUGACAUGAUUAUUACUGGUGAUGAUAUUGAUGGUAUUUCAGUUUUGAAGACAGAGUUGGCUAGACGGUUUGAAAUGAAGGAUUUGGGUUAUCUUCGAUAUUUCCUGGGUAUUGAGGUAGCAUACUCACCUAGAGGUUACCUUCUUUCUCAGUCGAAAUAUGUUGCAGAUAUUCUUGAGCGGGCUAGACUUACUGAUAACAAGACUGUAGAUACUCCUAUUGAGGUUAACGCAAGGUACUCUUCUUCUGAUGGUUUACCUUUGAUAGACCCUACUUUAUACCGCACUAUUGUUGGGAGUUUGGUAUAUCUCACCAUUACUCGUCCAGAUAUUGCAUAUGCUGUUCAUGUUGUUAGUCAGUUUGUUGCUUCUUCUACUACUGUUCACUGGGCAGCUGUUCUUCGUAUUUUGCGAUAUCUUCGGGGUACAGUUUUUCAGAGUCUUUUACUUUCAUCCACCUCAUCAUUGGAGUUGCGUGCAUACUCUGAUGCUGAUCAUGGUAGUGAUCCCACAGAUCGCAAGUCUGUUACCGGGUUCUGUAUCUUUUUAGGUGAUUCUCUUAUUUCUUGGAAGAGCAAGAAACAAUCUAUUGUUUCUCAAUCAUCCACCGAAGCAGAAUAUCGUGCCAUGACAUCUACUACCAAAGAGAUUGUUUGGUUACGUUGGUUACUUGCUGAUAUGGGAGUUUCCUUUUCUCAUCCUACUCCUAUGUAUUGUGACAACCAGAGUUCUAUUCAGAUUGCUCAUAACUCGGUUUUUCAUGAGCGCACUAAGCACAUUGAGAUCGAUUGUCAUCUUACUCGUCAUCAUCUCAAACAUGGCACCAUUGCUUUGCCUUUUGUUCCUUCUUCCUUGCAGAUUUCUUUACCAAGGCGCAUUCCAUCUCUCGUUUUCGUUUUCUGGUUGGCAAACUCUCGAUGCUUGUAGCUGCCGCAUCGUGAGUUUGAGGGGAGAUGUUAAAUAAUAUUUAUGUAGUCUUAUUUAUUAAGGGUAGAAUAAUACUUUCAGUUUAACCUAUAUAUACUUUGUUUGUAUUUAGGUUAAGACUAAGCACUCAUAAUAUAUAUAUUAUUCAGAAUUCUAGCCUCUUUUUCGUGUUUGAGCUUAAUUAUUUUAACACCCUUCAUUUCUGAUUUAGUCAUUUCCCUGGUUGAAUACGUGGCUCCCCCAACAUUAUUUUUUCCAAGAAAUACGGAGAAUUUGGUUACAUAAUCAAUUGGAAAACUCUUUAGAUAGCACCUAACGGAGUAUUAUGGAAUGUUUAUUAUGUAUAUUUAUAUUUAUCUUGUAUUUACCUUAUAUAGGAUUCUGAUCAUGUGUUACAUGUUUAGUGUUGUGUACACCCCCCCCCGAUCAUGUGUUACAUGUUUAGUGUUGUGUACAACCCCCCCCCUCUCUCUCUCUCUCUAUAUAUAUAUAUAUAUAUAUAUAUAUAUAUAUAUAUAUAUAUCACAUAAGGGGGAGUGCUACAGACAAUGAUCUACAACCUCCAGAAUAUAUUCCAAAACUCUCUCUCUUAAACUUCAACUUGGUAUCAGAGCAUUAUACUUUCAACAUGACUUUUAUCUUCAAUCGGCGUUUCUCUCCUCUCCUCACGGAUCCUACCGCAUCUCAAUCCGCAAACACGCUAUCUACAUCUCUUCCUGCUAAUUCUUCAAUUAUGCAAUCUGCGUUAGGUUUUUCAAUGGCACCUCUGCCUGGAUUUUUCAAUGGCACCAUAUUUGUUGGGUCAGGGUGUGUCUGUCUUUGUUGACGGGUCCUAUUCUUGUCCUACACUCUAUAUUGCUACCAACGAUACAACAGCUCCUGUUAUUAAUCCAUCCUUUCUUUCAUGGAAGCAACAAGACCAAUUAAUUAUGAGUGCUCUCCUCUCCUCUUUAUCUAUUGAAAUUCUACAUCUUGUGGUUGAUUGUGACACAUCUCAUAGCAUCUGGCAGACACUUGAAAAAUCCUUUGCCUCACCAUCCCCUUCAAGGAUUAUGCAAUUACAUGGGUCGUUUCAGGAUUUACAUCAAGGCGAUGACUCAGUUAGUGUUUAUCUACAGCGAGCUAAGGUCUUAUUCGAUGAGUUGGCUGCUGCUAAUCGGCCUCUUUCCCUAGAGGACUUUAAUCUUUAUGUGUCUCAGGGCUUACGCAGUGAUUUCAAAAACUUAGUGACCAGUUUGUCUACACGGGCAGACCCUUUGUUAUACUCUGAUCUUCACAGUCACUUGCUCACUCAUGAAUACCUCAAUAAGAGCUCCCUUCAAUCCACUAUUGGCUCUCCUAUGACAACACCUCUACUGCCCACACCUUCAAAUCCCACGGCUUCAGCAUUAUUAGCCCAGCGGAGUGGUUUCGGUGGUUCUUCUAGUCACUCCUAUCGUGGGCGUGGACGUCAUCGAGGUGGAUGAAGAGGCUACCAUGGUGGAAACAAUGGCCCGCCUGGAUCUGGUUGGCAGCAGACAUCUGGGUCUGGUUUUUAGCAGGGUUCCCAUGAGUCUAGGACUGGUUGGCAGCAGCAUUCUCGUGGGUUUUCCAACUCUAACAACAACUUUCAAAAUGUCAAUUGUGUUAUGGCUUUGGGCAUUCAGCCAAGUAUUAUUCCCAAUUCACCUCACAUAAUUUACAAGCUACCGCUAACUUAGCAUUUCAGAAUCCUCAGCUCUCUUCUGCAAGUUGGUUUCCAAAUACGGGUGCUAAUCAAUAUGUGACAUCGGACCUUGCCAGUAUGACGAGUUCAGAGCCCUAUCCUGGCAGUGAUCAAUUACAUGUUGGUGAUGGCAAGGGACUUGUUAUAUCACAUAUUGCCCACUCUAAACUUUAUACUCCCAAAUGCACUUUUAUUCUAUCGAAUGUUCUACAUGUCCCAAAUAUUAAAAAAACCUCUAUUGUCUGUUCAAAAAUUUUGCAUUGAGAAUAACGUAUUUUUUGAAUUUCAUUCAUCUAUGUUUUAUGUUAAGGAUUUGAUAACCAAGGAGGUGCUCCUUUCCAGUCAGAGUAGCGAUGGUUUAUAUGUCUUAUCCGAGUCUUCUGCAACGUCCGUACCUCAAGCUUUCCUGUCUACGUCUGUGUCCUCCACUGCUAAUGUUUGGCAUCGUCAUCUUGGGCAUCCUAGCUCUUGUAUUUUAGGUUCUUUAGUAUCAAAUAAUAAAGUUUCAUGUACUUCUAGAGUUUUUAAUUUUAAUUGUUUAGGAAAAUCAUCACGUUUUUCGUUAGGCCUUACUGGUCAUAAAACUUGCGCUCCUCUUGAGCUUGUUUCCAGUGAUGUUUGGGGACCUUCUCCUAUGCUAUCUAAUGAUGGUUAUUGUUAUUUUGUGAUUUUUAUGGAUAUAUCUGGUUCUUUCCUUCAGCAGCUAAAUCUGAUGUGUUUAACAUUUUUCAUCAGUUUCAAGUUCUUGUUGAAUGCCAAUUCGCCACCAAAAUUAAGUCAGUUCAAACAGAUUGGGGUGGUGAAUAUAGGAAGUUAAACAUAUAUUUUAAAACCAUUCAUUACCGUCUAAUUUGUCCUCACACACAUGAACAAAAUGAUAUGGUUAAGCGUCGUCAUCGUCAUAUUGUUGAAACUGGCCUUACGCUUCUUGGUUAAUGUAAGGCUCCGUUAAAAUUUUGAAGUUAUGCUUUUGAAAUGGUUGUCUAUCUCAUAAAUCGUAUGCCUACUGCUGUUUUAAAUAGUUGUACCCCUUUUGAAAGUUUGUUUAAAUCUCCUCCUGAUUACAGUUUUCUUCGUAUUUUUGGGUAUCUAUGCUUUCCAUUGCUUCGUCCCUAUAAUCGACAUAAACUAGAUUUCCGUUCUACCCCAUGUGUGUUUCUUGGCUAUAGUUCCUCUCAUUUGGGUUAUCGUUGCCUUGAUUUGUUGUCCUCUUGUAUGUAUAUUGCACGUCAUGUUAAAUUUAAUGAAAAUACAUUUUCCUUUGCAUGUUCUGAACAGACAACACCCUUGCCUUCUCCAUCUUUACAAACAACACUCCCAGCCUUAACUCUUUUUCCUACACCUAUGACUUCUCCAUCUGCCUUAUCUCCGCCCCUUUCUCCAACGCCUGACCCCAGGGUUGUUGCCUCCCCUUCACCUCAUACCGUGAGUAACAAUCCCUAUGCUCCAUCUCCACUUUAUUAUGUUUCUAACGAUCACUCUCCAAGUAUGCUCUCUGUUUCUCCAGGUAUGGCGAUUCCAUUGUCAGCGAUCUCUUCUCAUAUUGUGUCUUUAUCUCGACCUCAUAGCAAUCCCACCUCGGGUCCUUCCUCUGGCUCUUCUCCUAGCUUGAAUUUGGUAGAUUUUGAUCUUCAGCAGGUUCCUCAUAAUCCAUCAAUUCUGCCAGCUGACUCCUCUCGCAGCCACCACUUGACACUUCGUCCUCGCCACCCAAAACAGGCGCAUUUUAGUGUGUCUCAGUCCUCUGCUCCUGUGUGUCCUGCUUCUCCUGAGUAUGAACCCCUCAUGUUCAAAGACGCUUCUCGACAUUCGGCAUGGCAGCAAGCCAUGCAAGAUGAAAUUUGAGCCUUGCACUCUAAUGGUACGUGGACUCUAGUUCCUUAUUGUUCCUCUAUGAAUGUUGUUGGUAGUCGUUGGGUCUAUAAAAUCAAGCAGCGAGCGGAUGGUAGUGUUGAUAGGUAUAAAGCUCAUUUUUUUGCCAGAGGGUUCACUCAACAAGAAAAAAUAGACUACCUUGAGACUUUCAGUCCGGUUGUUAAGCCUGCAACUGUGCGGUUAGUACUUACUAUUGUUGUGACUCGCUGGUGGUUUAUUCAUCAACUUGAUGUUCACAAUGCCUUCUUGAAUGAGAUUCUUCAAGAAGAGGUGUAUAUGGAGCAACCACCUGGUUUCUCUCAUCCAACUCUAUCAUCUCAUGUUUGUCGCCUUCAUAAGUCUAUCUAUGGUUUAAAAUAGGCUCCCCGGGCGUGGUAUACCAGACUUAGUGAUUAUCUCAUUUCUCUUGGUUUUCGUGCCUCUAAUGCUGAUACUUCUCUGUUUAUUUACUCUGCUGGCCAUGAUCUCAUUUACUUGCUUGUGUAUGUGGAUGACCUUCUGCUUACUGGGAACAAUUCAACUUUGCUAUGCCACUUGAUUACCUUACUGAAUUCAGAGUUCAAAAUUAGGGAUUUAGGCUUUGUGCAUUAUUUCUUGGGGAUUGAAGUCACCAAGACUGCCAUAGGACUUAUGCUCUCACAUCAUAAAUAUACUCCUGAUAUCAUUCAGCGAGCUGGUAUGUCUUUGUGUAAAGCUGUCGACACGCCUGCUUCAUCCUCGUCUAAGCUAUUGCUGACUUCGGAUACUCGGUACUCUGAUCCUACUCGUUACCGAUAGAUUGUUGGUGCUUUGCAGUAUCUCACUUUUACUCGUCCAGAUAUUUGUUAUGCUGUUAGUAAAGUCUGUCAGUUUAUGCACUCGCCUACCGAUGGCCAUUGGUCUCUUGUCAAAAGAAUUGUCCGGUAUCUCUUGUCAAAGGAAUUGUCCGGUAUCUCCAAGGUACGACAUCUUAUGGUCUGCACAUCACUCGGGGUUCUUCUCUUUCCUUACAUGGUUUUACAGAUGUUGACUGAGCUGGUAGUCUUGAUGAUAGAAAAUCCACCGGUGGCUACUUGAUAUAUCUCGACCGAACACCUAUUUCUUGGAAGUCUGCAAAACAACGAGCAGUGGCUUGUUCAUUGACUAAAGCAGAAUAUAAGGUUCUUGCGGAUGGUACUGCUGAGAUCUUAUGAAUUCGGGCUUUGUUGUCAGAUCUUCAUUUUUCUCCUGAUUCUAUGACUAUCCUUUGGUGUGAUAAUUUGGUUGCUACCUACUUGUCUGUCAAUCUUAUCUUUCAUGCUCGCACUAAGCAUGUUGAAGUCGAUUAUCACUUUGUUCGUGAUCGAGUUGCUAAAAAGGAAAUUGAGGUUCGGUUCAUCUCCUCGCAGGAUCAACUUGCUGAUGUUCUUACCAAACCUCUUCCUCACGCAUCCUUCACUUAUUUUCGGUCCAAGCUUUAUGUGGAAUUUCCUCCUUCAGCUUGAGGGGGCGUAUUAUGAAAUGUUUAUAAUUAUGUAUAUUUAUAUUUAUCUUGUAUUUACCUUAUAUAAGAUUCUGAUCAUGUGUAGUACACUACAUGUUUAGUAUUGUGUACAACCUUAUAUCUAUAUAUCUAUCACAUGAGGGGAGUGCUACAGACAAUGAUCUACAGCCUCCAGAAUAUAUUCCAAAACUCUUUCUCUUAACUUCAACUCGAAGCGUUUUUAUCAUGUUUGUAAGUGUUUUUUCAAAGUGCUUUGAAGUGUAAAAACAUCAAAUGUGAUUUUAGAUUAUUUUGAUAUGAUAAAACCGAAAACAUAAAAAAAAUAAAACUGAAAAUGCAUUAAUUUCUUGAUAUAUUUAUAGUCUAAAUACACUGGGUUGAAAUCAUGCCUGCUCAUAAUCGGAACUUCAAUGGAACUCGUAGGUCAAUGUUCUUUACUGGUCUGGUUAUGGACUUGACUUUGACAUGGAGUGCAUGUACCCUGUUGCUGUUUCAACACAAAAAGAAGAAGAGGGGGGCAAAUAUGUAGUUAACCACAGUCGUUGCUCAACAGGUAAUUACUUUUAUACAAUUUGCAAUAUAAAACCUCAGUUUUUCUUCACAUGAAGAAGAAAUAUAAAAAUGAAGUCUCUUUUUCUUCCUUUAUAAGAAAAAUAAAAUAAAAUAUCAAAUCCUCAGAUCUAGAUUUGAAUUUUAUUAAAGAAAUUUCUUUUUAUUGUUUUAUUAUUUUUCAUAUUUCCGGAAAUAAUCUAAAACAAAUAUUCUUAAUUAGAAGGAAAAAGAAGGAGUUGUCGAUCCUCUCAUUAAACUGUAAAAUAAUCAAUCAAAUGUUAAAAUAAUUAGUGAGUGUUUUAAAGGAAGAAUAUUUUUCGCUUAAAAACUAUAGUUCACAUAAUCUUAUUAUAAUGGAUUUAUUUCCAAAUAGACUUUACAAAUACAGAUACUUUUAUUCACUUGCCUUUUGUUCUCUAUAUUUCUUUGAUCCACCAAGCUUAUGUUAUAUAUAUAUAGGUUUGACGUCGAACAAUUGAAGAUUCAUUUUCUAUUGCAUUAGUGAUGGUGUGAUGCUAAAAUUAACAUUAUAUUUUACUAUCAUUGCACUACAAAAAACAGAAAACAAUAUGUAAUGACUCUUCAAAAUAUAUUUAAAGAUACUUUUUAGUGUUGCUAAAUAUUUUCAACCCACAACAUAAUUAUCACAAAUGAUCACUAUAUAUAGUGUUAUAAGUUGAUGCAACGACACCCAACCCCCUAAAAAAAUUUAAACAUCCAGUUUAAUAAUUUGAUGAAUUAAAAAAUUAAGGAUCUAAUUUAAUAAUUUCAUCCAAUUUGAUAAUGAGAAAUUCUAAUUGGUUAUUAGAAAUUUUAAUUGGUUUCAGAGAUUAGACACGGAAAGUGAAAAGGAGAGAAUGAUUUAUUACUUUCAAAUUAUAUGCAAUCUUUUUUGUUAUGAAAAGGAGGUUUGAAUUCAAGAUUUUCUAGGAAAGAAAAAUACUCAUUGAAGAUAGUUCAAUGCAGAUGAUAAAACUUGGAAUAUCAAACCCAUGUCAGUUUUUAUACAGUUGAUAAAUAAACCUGCAGGUCCUCGAAGAACCUGCUUUCAAGCCUCGUUAAUAUCACAUUUCUUAGCCCGCAAGAACCCUAAUUCCCGCAAAAACCCUGCUUUCAAGUUUUUCAAUUGCAUGAGCUGCUUUUAUUUCCUCUGUCAUUCCUAUUUUCUUUGAUUCUCAUUUAAUCCUCUAAUGGUCAUCAAAUCUUUCUCAUUACUUCAGGUUUACACGUCACAUCAAUUUCAUUUUUCUACCAUCAAGGGUUGUGCUCUCGCUUUACCACAACCCUACAAAAACUAACAAAGAAAAAUGUUGAGACACUAAAAUACAAGCUUCGCUAAUAAAAAAACUACAAGUUGAAAAAACUCCACCUGCAACACCAAACCCUAAGUAUAUAAACUAACUUCCAUUCACAAUCAGCCGCCUCCUUCCCCUCACCCUCUCUUUCUCUCUGGUCAUCCUAUCAUCAUUGCUUCUCUCUCUCUGUUUCCAAUCAGAACUAAUUAAACAUACGAUGGCUGAGGCACUUGUAUCUCCGAUCUUGGAGCAGUUAACCACGAUCGUUGCUCAACAGGUAUUUUUCUGCCAUCUGCAAUAACCUGAUUUACCUAGCAGAGAUAAGAAAUGUAAAGGUCAAGCCUUUUUUCUUCCUAUCAUAAAAAAGAAUACUUUUAACUUGAAAAAAUAAAAAUAAUAUUUUAAAUCCUCAAAUAUAUAUUGGGAUUUUAUUAAAGAAUCUUCUUUUUCUUGUUCUAUUAUUUUUCACAAUUCCAAAAUAACCUAAAAGAAAAUAUGUCAUUGCUAAUAUAAGAAAACCGAAAAAGGCAAAACAAGAGUACUUGCCAAUUCUCUUUAAACUGAACUAUUAAGGGUAAAAUAAUCAAUAAAAAGUUCAAAGGACUAGCGAGUGAGUAUUUGGUGCGAAUUAAAACUAUAUAGUUAACACACAAUCUUAUUAUCAUGGCUUUAUUUCUAAAUGGACUUCACAAAUAUAUACAUGCAGAUCCUUUUAUUCACUUGCCUUUAUACAUCCAUAUAUCUAUAGUUUAAUGUAAAAUGAAAACCAGAUUUUAUGUCGGUUCAAAGGAGAAAUCCUUCUCUCGUGAGAACAUUGAACUCUUUCCAUACCUACAGGUUUAACGUUGUACCAUUUAAGAUUCAUUUUAUACCUUCCUGUAAAGUAGCAGGGUGCAGACAGAUAUCAUCAUAAUGAAGAUAAAAAGAAAAAAGAGAUAUUAUUAUUUUUAAUAAAUAUUUUAUAAACAAAUUAUUAAUAUUGUCAAUCCAUUUCACAAUAAAAUAUAUUAAUAAAAAAAAAUUAAUCUAUCCGUUGCCAAAAAUUAAGAAAUUGUAUUGAAAUUAUAGAAAUGUUUCCUCUGCUUCAAAUUUCUUAUCUUUUAUACACUAAUAGGUACAAGAAGAGGUGAACCUAGGAGGGGGUGUGAAGAAACAAGUCGACAAGCUGAAAAGCAAUCUCCUUGCUAUCCAAUCUGUCCUUGAAGAUGCAGAUAGAAAACAAGUGAAGGAUAAGGCUGUAAGAGACUGGGUAGACAAGCUCAAAAAUGUAUGCUAUGAUAUCGAUGACGUGCUAGAUGAAUGGAGCUCUGCAAUUCUUACAUGGAAAAUGAGGGAUGCUGAAGAAAAUACUCACAGCCUGCAGAAGAUACGGUGUUCCUUCCUGGGAUCUCCUUGCUUUUGUCUCAAUCAAGUGGUUCGACGUCGAGACAUUGCCCUCAAGAUCAAAAGAAGUAUGUGAAAAACUGGACGACAUUGCCAAAGAGAAAUCUAUGUAUGGCUUUGAGUUGUACAGAGCCACUGAUGAACUCCAACGAAUAACAAGUACCUCCCUUGUUGAUGAAUCAAUCGUGAGUGGUCGAGAUAAUGACAGGGAAGCUUUAGUAAGCAAGUUGCUGGGUGAAAGUAGUCAGGAAGCAUGGGACGUGGAUGCCAUCUCUCUAGUAGGGCUAGGCGGAAUUGGAAAAACAACUCUCGCCCAACUAGCUUUUAAUGAUGCUGAUGUUACGGCUCAUUUUGAGAAAAAGAUAUGGGUGUGUGUUUCAGAUCCAUUUGAUGAGGUUAGAAUAGCCAAAGCUAUCCUUGAGCAGCUUGAAGGGAGGGCACCGGAUUUGGUUGAAUUGCAAUCUCUUUUGCAAAGGGUUUCUGAAUCCAUUAAGGGAAAGAGGUUCCUUCUUGUCCUUGAUGAUGUAUGGACAGAAAAUCAUAGACAAUGGGAACAACUGAAACCAUCUCUCACAGGCGGUGCACCAGGAAGCAGAAUUCUAGUGACCACUCGUAAACAUUCUGUGGCAACGAUGAUGGGAACUGACCAUCGGAUCAACAUUGAGAAAUUGUCCGACGAGAUAUGCAGGUCAAUAUUCAAUCAUGUGGCAUUCCAGGAAAGAAGCAAAGAUGAGCGCGAAAGAUUGACAGAUAUCGACGGCAAAAUUGCAAGCAAGUGCAAGGGCUUGCCUCUAGCUGCCAAGGUAUUAGGAGGUCUGAUUCAGUCUAAAAGAACAAGAGAAGAGUGGGAACGUGUUUUAUCUAGCGAACUGUGGGGGCUAGAUGAGGUUGGUAGAGAUCAGGUUGAAAGAGGAAUAUUUCUACCUUUGCUUUUGAGUUACUACGAUUUACCUUCUAUGGUAAGACGAUGUUUCUUGUAUUGUGCCAUGUUUCCAAAAGACUAUGAGAUGCGCAAAUACGAAUUGGUGAAGAUGUGGAUAGCUCAAGGUUACCUCAAGGAGACUUCAGGUGGAGAUAUGGAGGCUGUUGGAGAGCAGUACUUUCAAGUCUUAGCAGCGCGCUCUUUCUUCCAAGAUUUUAAGACGUAUGAUCGAGAAGAUAUUAGAUUCAAGAUGCAUGGUAUAGUGAAUGAUUUUGCCCAAUAUAUGACAAAAAAUGAAUGUCUAACAGUGGAUGUCAAUAACCUUGGAGUAGCAACAGUGGAGACUUCAAUUGAAAGGGUUCGUCAUUUAAGCAUGAUGCUGUCAAACGAGACCUCUUUUCCCGUGUCCAUUCACAAAGCAAAAGGUCUUCGCAGCCUCUUGAUCCACUCUAGAGACCCUUCGCUUGGAGCUGCACUGCCUGAUUUGUUCAAGCAGUUGACAUGCAUUAGGUUAUUGAAUUUGUCAGAGUCUUCAAUCAAAGAAAUACCAAACGAGGUAGGGAAAUUGAUACCUUUGAGACACCUCAAUUUGGCAUCUUGUUAUCAGUUGGAGUCCCUGCCAGAAACCAUGUGUGAUUUAUGCAAUCUGCAAUCCCUAGACGUUACUUGGUGUGAUUCUCUCAAGGAAUUGCCUAAUGCGAUUGGAAAACUUAUCAAAUUGAGGCAUCUCCGGAUUUAUGGUUCAGGAGUGGCCUUCGUACCAAAGGGAAUAGAGAGGAUAACAUGUCUUCGAACAUUAGAUGAGUUUACUGUGUGUGGUGGUUGUGAGAAUGAAAGUAAAGCCGCUAAUCUAAGAGAAUUAAAAAACUUAAAUCACAUUGGAGGGAGUCUUAAGAUAUGGAAUCUACGAGGAGGUAUAAAAGAUGCGAGUGACGCUGCAGAAGCACAACUCAAGAAUAAGAAGCGCCUGCGUUGUUUGCUAUUGGCUUUCGACUACAACCGGCAGAACAGCAUUUUAAUUGAAGCUUUACGGCCUCCGUCUGACUUGGAAAAUCUAACCAUAUCUAGGUACGGAGGGUUGGAUUUGCCAAAUUGGAUGAUGACAUUAACCAGAUUACAGGAGCUUAAACUCUGUUAUUGUGCAAACCUGGAGGUCUUGCCUCCGUUGGGUAGAUUGCCCAACCUUGAAGGCCUGGUAUUGAGGUCGUUGAAGGUGAGAAGGUUGGAUGCUGGAUUUUUAGGUCUAGAAAAAGAUGAGAAUGCCAGUAUUAAUGAAGGAGAAAUUGCAAGGGUCACUGCUUUCCCCAAAUUGAAAGAACUUGAGAUUUGGUAUCUCGAAGAAGUAGAAGAGUGGGAUGGAAUUGAAAGGAGAGUGGGAGAAGAAGAUGCCAACACAACUUCAAUAUCCAUUAUGCCACAACUUCGAGAUUUGAUAAUUGAAAAUUGCCCAUUGUUGAGAGCACUACCUGACUAUGUUUUGGCAGCGCCUCUACAGGAAUUGGACAUAAGUAGAUGCCCCAUUCUAACGAAUCGUUACGGGGAGGAGGAGAUGGGUGAAGAUUGGCAAAAGAUUUCUCACAUCCCAAACAUUUGUUUUGAUGAUUACGGGAGAAAGACAGAACUCUUUAAUUAGAACCUGCAGGAACAGGUAAAUUCUUCAACCAGUGUUAAUUCUUAACGGUAAAAUACCGUUUUUCUGUAAAUGGAUUGAACUCAUUUGUAAUCUAUUCUUGAGUUGGAUUUUAUUUCCUACUUACAUUUAUUCUAUCAAAUGCAGCUGUGACUUUCUUUUUAGCAUUCUCUCUGUUUUUUUUUUUUAAAUAAAAAACACCACAUUGUGUCCCAUAACCAGAAACAACUAAAUCAAAUCAUAAUUGUUGGAUUUGUCAAAAUACAAACAUAAUUCAUGAAAAAUAAACUCAAGAUGCCAUGCUUUGUGAGCUUGAAAAAUAGACUUUCAAUGGAGGCAAUGGAGAAAAAAACUGGAGCUGCUGGAAUUGGUGGAGGCCGCGACGGCACACGGUGGAACAGUGGUGACGCAUGCCGGCGCAUGAAGUUCAUGCGCCACAGCCUUGACAGUGCAUUGGUAAGUUUAAUCAUACAGUCAUUACACAUCCAGAAGUCUUCUGGUAUUUAAUUCAACCUAAUAACAAUGGUGAGAGAGGCAACACCAAAACAGUGGUAGCGAGGGUUUACGCCUCUAGCAAGUAGCAAGAGAUAUAGCUUUGCUGCAAAGAGCAAGAGAAUUAAUUUGGUCUGAUACCUCGAAACAUUGCAUGACCGGUAAGGUAGGUAUAAUUAAUUAGAGAUGUAAGGACUCAGAAAUUUAUUACUGUGAAAAGAAGAAACAUUUACCAUCAUUCUAAUUACAGUUAGCCAUCUUUAGCAAGUAAAAAAAGCCAACCCCGUGUAAAGAUAGUGACUGCAACCUCUGAUGCAAUCUAAAUUUGGUGUAUCUUCAUCCUCAAUCUUUUCUGAAAAAUAUGAAAGUGUAUGAAAUAAAGAUUGUAUGAAUUCAGAGAGAAGAAACAGGUAAUAUCAUCAUGAGCAUCUGGAGUGGCUUCUAGAUGUGUUUUUUGUAAUAAAAGCCUGGAAUCUUCAAGUCACCUCUUCAUCCAUCCACUGCCACUUUGCUUGGCAUCUAUGAAUGAAAUUCCUUUCACGAUGGGGUAUUAACAGUGUUUUUUCAAAAUCUGUUGUUGGUAUGUGCUACCAAUGAUUUUCUAUGGUGAAAGGCAAACAACAGAAUCUCUCAUGACAGCUUUUCUUCUCCUGCAUUGUGUGGAAUCUUUAGCUUCAUCAGAAUGAUAUCAUCUUUAAUAGGGCUGCUCCAAAUCUUCAAAGCUGUUUUUCCUUGAUCUUCCGCAGUUUCUCAUUUUCUUCAGACUCUGCUGGCGAGGAUGUUCAUAACAGCUUUGAUGGCAUUGGUUUUGUAGAAAGGAGGAGCUGAUUUCAGUUGUUUUUAUCCUUUUCCCACACUGUUUUCCUUCCCCUGUUUCAAAACCUCUAAAGCUUGUUUGCUUUUUUUUUUUUUUUUUGUCAGCUAGAACUUCUGGAUGGUAGGCUAUUAUCUUUUUAGCCAUUUUCUUAUAAUACACUCGACUAUUAUAAGAAAAAAAGCAUCUGAAGUGGCUGAAUAUACAAGCUUCGGUUCCAUCUCCAUCAGCAUCAAAUGCACCCGAGCUAUUGGUGAGCAGCGCCAAUGAGAGGGAAAAAUAAAAAAUACCAUCCUGCAUUUACUCCAACCUUCCACCUCAUAUAUUCACAGAACUUUCAAUCUUGCCUUGCAUAGAAACCAACAGUGAACCUUAGGGGAGAGGUGACUCGCAGAAACUUAAAAAGCGGAAUCCACAUGCAGACAGUAACUCGGCCAACUCAGUCGAUUACUCAAUGUAAUUAAUUAUAGCACUCUUUGCUGAUUAUUUCAAAAAGGACCUCCUCUAGCCUUAUUUGAGUCACCAGCUAGCUACAAGUCUUCAAGCUUUGAAAUGACUAAUGGCGUACGGCGUACCACUCUGCCACUGGUAAGGAAAAGAAAUCUCUUUAAAGUCACCAAGGAACUUUUUUUUUUUUUACAACAGUGGAGAUUUUAUUAAAAUUUUUGGCUAAAAAGAGAAUAGCCUAAUAGCCAAAAAAAAAAAAGCAACAAAGAGAAGAUAAAAAAUAAAGAAGACAUAAAAGCACGGUAUCUACAACAGGAAAAAGAAAACAGGGACCAGACAAUUGAUAAAAACUAGAAGUCAACUUCUGUUAUCCCUGAAAAAGCAUCAUUGAAGAUUACAUCAAUACAAGAAAAGAGAAGUUGUUAUCAUGAAAGAUUCUGAAAUUUUCCUUGCAUCAUUUGUAGCACAUAUCAUCAAUAGAAUUUGGGAAAGAAUCACUAAUACCCCACCAAAAUAGGAAUUUCAUUCAUAACUUCCAGGCAAACACACAAUUAAUGAAGAGAUCGCAUGAAGUUUCAAAUCGUCUUUUACAAAACACACAUCUAGCUUGCUGAAGAGAAAAGAAAUCAUGCUGAAACAAGAAAUCACGGAUGAAGACUUUAUAAAAACCGAAAAGGUUAUACACCACUGUAAAGCAAUUGAUCCAAGAGAUGGGAACUGUAUUUUACUGUAUAAAAACCAUUUUACUAUACAACAAAAAUUUUUUAUGGGAUAACAUCAAAAUUUUGUUAUAAAUUAAAAAAUUGAUGAAAUCUUCUAUUUUAGUGAAUAUUAUCAAAAUUUUCAUUAAAUCUUAAAAAGUGAUGAAAUCUUCAGUCUUAAGGGAUUAACGUCAAAGUUUUUAUUAAAAUUCAAGAAAUUACAAAAUCUACUGUCUUUAGGGAUUGAUAUAAAAAAAUUAAUGAAAUUUCCUAUAUUGAGUGAAUGAAAGAUUUCAAAUAUAUAGUAGUAUAUAAAUAAUUUUCUGAACCAAAGAAAAAACAGAAUUUUUAGGAGUGAUUUAAAAUCAUGAACUAGAAUUUAAGUAUUCAAGUUGAGCAUAUUAAAUCUGCAAUGAGGUGCAUAUGGUGUUUUUUCAGUGCAGCGAAGCAUUGACUAAUAAAGACUGACUGAAUUGAAACAGAACGCAACGAGACUUUUGGGUUUGAAACUAAUCCAGUGACGACAGCAAAUAACCAUUUUUUUUUUUUGUAAGGAAAGGCACAUGGUGUGAUUUAUGCAAUCUGCAAUCACGUUACUUGGUGUGAUUCUCUCAAGGAAUUGCCUAAUGCGAUUGGAAAACUUAUCAAAUUGAGGCAUCUCCGGAUUGAGGGUUCAGGUGUGGCCUUCAUACCAAAGGGAAUAGAGAGGAUAACAUGUCU